GCCCUUGUAGCUCAGCUGGAUAGAGCAUCUGCCUCCUAAGCAGAGGGUCCCCGGUUCGAGUCCGGGCAAGGGUAC
rnacentral:tRNA from 1 species